GAUGAACGCUGGCGGCGUGCUUAACACAUGCAAGUCGAACGAAGCGCUUUACCGGAUUUCUUCGGAAUGAAAGUUUUGUGACUGAGUGGCGGACGGGUGAGUAACGCGUGGGUAACCUGCCUCAUACAGGGGGAUAACAGUUAGAAAUGACUGCUAAUACCGCAUAAGACCACAGGACCGCAUGGCCCAGUGGUAAAAACUCCGGUGGUAUGAGAUGGACCCGCGUCUGAUUAGCUAGUUGGUAAGGUAACGGCUUACCAAGGCGACGAUCAGUAGCCGACCUGAGAGGGUGACCGGCCACAUUGGGACUGAGACACGGCCCAAGCUCCUACGGGAGGCAGCAGUGGGGAAUAUUGCACAAUGGGGGAAACCCUGAUGCAGCGACGCCGCGUGAGCGAUGAAGUAUUUCGGUAUGUAAAGCUCUAUCAGCAGGGAAGAAAAUGACGGUACCUGACUAAGAAGCACCGGCUAAAUACGUGCCAGCAGCCGCGGUAAUACGUAUGGUGCAAGCGUUAUCCGGAUUUACUGGGUGUAAAGGGAGCGUAGACGGAGAGGCAAGUCUGAUGUGAAACCCGGGGCUCAACCCCGGGACUGCAUUGGAAACUGUUUUUCUAGAGUGUCGGAGAGGUAAGUGGAUUCCUAGUGUAGCGGUGAAAUGCGUAGAUAUUAGG
rnacentral:rRNA from 1 species